CCGGAAAACGACGAUUGGCCAUGUGAUUGUGAAAGUGAAACUAGAACACGCGAGUGAUUUCUCACUGUUCAGAAACCCUGAGUCAACGAGUUGGCAGAGUUGAAUAUUGCCAAUAACCUCAGUAGCAAAAGAAGAAAUAUUGGUAUAUGUAUGUGUAAAACCAAUGUAAAGAAUAUUCUAUACCGCAGCAGAAAAAAGAAAAGAAAUAGAAGGUCUCUAGGCAUCUGAAGACUUUUCUGUGUAU